UACCGGAUAAGUCUUUACGGAGAAAGCUUUAUGCACCAUUGGAUGAGCCCGCACUUGAUUAGUUUGUUGGUAGGGUAAUGGCCUACCAAGACUAUGAUCAAUAGCUGAUUUGAGAGGAUGAUCAGCCACAUUGGGACUGAGACACGGCCCAAACUCCUACGGGAGGCAGCAGUGGGGAAUCUUGCACAAUGGAGGAAACUCUGAUGCAGCGAUGCCGCGUGAGUGAAGAAGGCCUUUGGGUUGUAAAGCUCUUUCGUCGGGGAAG
rnacentral:rRNA from 1 species